AUAUAUAAAGCAAAUCUGUCCAGAUGAACAGCAGCUUAAAAAUCCUGUUUGUGCUUUGCAGAGGUGCAGCCUCCAGUGUGAGCAGCUGGGAAUUUAAGCAGUGCCUGGAUUACCUUAAAUACUUGGGAAUAACCAGGUUUGCCAGAAAUAAUUGCAGUUGGCUGGUUCUGAAGCUCCUGUUUUGUCAUCAGUGAUCAUAACCUGGUCUCUUCAGUGCUCCAAAGACUCACAGUGCAUUGGUUUAAAGCCAGCAGAAAACAGAUUUAUGUGUACAGAGGAGGUUUCCUGAACCGUGGAAAGACACAGCUCUGCAGGCAGCAGGAUGUUUUUGGUGGAACCAACUGACUCAGUGCACUGAUGGUUUCCUGGGCAGUUUUCCAGGUGAGGUGACCAAAGUUUGCUCGUGGGCCAACAAGAUGCUUCCUUCAGGACUUAUUUCACCCCUUCCAACAAGAUGGAGCAAUGAAUUAAGGACAUGAGAGUGCCAACACAAUGGAGUCCUGAUCCCUGGCUCCAAGACUCAGAUAUGAAAGAUUUUCAGAACUCCCCGGACAGCAAACAUAAUCAUAUCAACACAGCUUUAAUUAGCAGCAAUCUGCACUAAUUAUUUUUGCCAUCAGCCAAAUUAUAACUGGAAGAAAACAAGUGCUCUUAAUAGCCCUGCUAGAAGAAAGCCUGUCCACUGUUCCUGUCAGAGGAAUGGGGUCACCACACACCCUCUGAUGUUGUGUCAACUGUUCAUUAGCCCUGGGAAGCAGAAGUUUCACUCCAAGCACAAAGUCCCAGUGGUUUUCCAAGCUUAGAAUUUCCUAUCCCACAACUCCUGGAGCGAUCCAGUGACUCCCACCUUCCCAUUAGGCACAGUAACCACUGGUGUGCCGUGUCCUGGAGAGGAGGUGAUUUGAUUUACCCCGGGGGAAAAUAUGAUUAUUUCCCGUUGCCAUGAGCUGCAGGUGAGACCAGCAGUGCUAACCCUGACACCUGGACAGACACCUGUGCCCAUUGCUCCAUCACUCACAGCCCUGAGAGCAAAGCCUGGGGCGGGCAAGGAAGGUGGAAUCUCGCUGGGAAUUGCCCCUCCCUCCAUAGUGUCCAUGAGGGAGGUGAGACCCUGCCUGCAACCCCUGUCCCAGGUCCCUCGGGGGCCGAAGCAGGACCUCAGUCCCUGGAGAAAAGCCAGGCCAGCGAGAAAUAACGAAUUCGAACGACAAACCCGCCGCUUUCUUUUGUCACGUGCGUGUCCUUUAUUUCGGGGGUUCGGUUUUACCCUUCUGCGACAGGAAAGGCGAUGCUGUGGCACAGCUCUGCGGGUGUCCAGUCCUGGCGAAGCUCCCACCUUGCCUGCUGGCAGGGAAGUGACUCCAUUCCUUGGAUUUGGUGGAGGGGGUCCCACGUGUAACAUUCUGCAUCCCCUUCACGUUCAUAGAAGCAUAAAAUCCUAGAAUGGUUUGGGUUGGAAGGGACCUUAAAGGACAUCCGUUCUCUCUAUAACACCCCUGGAAUCUUAGGUGAUGUGAGAGACUGUAACUGGUGAUGUUGUGCACAGCAGGGAGGGAUGUUAUCCUUGGACAGGUGAGAAAUGUUGUCCUUGGACAGGUGAGAAAUGUUGUCCUUGGACAGGUGAGGAACUGAGGCAGAAGUCCGAGAGAGGGGGAAUAACCUUCUUUUUUUACCCCCCUGCUUGGUUAAAUCCAGCUGGAGGUCCAUGUCUGGGGGCAGAAUGAGAUCAUACAAGGUUUGCAGCACCUUGGAUUUCCUGUGAUCACUGGAGCAGUACAUUAAUAUUUUGGUAUGGACUGAAUAUCUUCAGAGGACCCCAGUUGCUGGUGGGAUGUGGGAUGGGAUUGAUGAGCUCUAUUUCUGGCAGUGGAUAAUGAAAUCCUCUGAGGAUUAGAGGUGAACCAGUCCAUUGCUGACAGGUUUCCAGGAGCACCAGUCCCAUCAACCUGUCCUGCUGUUUAAUAAAAGCAGUCCCAGCUGGCUUUUGGAUGGAGAGCAGCUGCUGCUGCUCCUGCUCCUUGAAAUCAUGAGACCUGAGAUCUUUGACAUGAGGAAAAAGGGGGGUUUCUGCCCAUGGUACAG